rnacentral:lncRNA from 1 species
GUUAGCCUUAGAGGUGAAAUUAUUAUUUGAGAUCUCAUGUCCAUGAAGCUUUUCUGCCCUCUGAUAGUUUAUCAUUUUUAUUUAUGGAAUCAUCAUAGUACUCAGCUAGAAAUCUUGGGCUAUACAAUCAUUUCUAGUAUGAAGAUUACUUUUUGAGAUUCAGAAAUGAAAUUUAAGAAAAAUCAGAAAGGAAAACUAAUUUCACUUUGAUGUAUGUGUACAGAUAUAUACGAGUAUCUGAACUUUUAUUUUUCAACUGGAGUAUCAUGGGAUGUUGUGGUAGGUAGAAUUCUAAAAUAGUUCCCACAUCGCCCCUUUCUCUAUGUACACACUCUUCACAAUCUCUAGCACUGUUAAUUUGGUGGCUUUUUUUAAUCCCUUGAUUAAAGUGUUAUAUGGCACAGCUGACUUUAAGAAAGGGAGAUUAUCUCUGUGGGCCUUACUGGAGGGAGUUGCAAUUUGCUAGGACUGAGGCUGACUCUAAGAAGUGAGCACUGGCCCAGUUAACAGUCAGCAAGGAAAUGGGGACCUCAGUCCUUCAACCUGAGACAUCUAAAUUCUGCCAAGAAGAAUGAGCUUGGAAGCAGGUUUUCCCCUAGAGCCUCCAUAUGAGCACUCAGCCAGGCCAAUUUCAGACCUUAGCAGAAAGCCCAGUCACAUCGUGUUGGAUUUUCUACAGAACUACGAGCUAAUAAGUCAGUGGUUGUCAAAGGAGACAAUGCAUCGGUACUGUCUGAAGAACUUUUCAAAUACCUGCUCCUUUCGAGGAUCCAGACACAGGAUAAGAUGAAAAAAUCUCAGAAAAAUUGAACAAAUUGCUAGAGAUCAACCACUACAAAGUGAUGGAACUGGAAUGAGUCCAAAGUUCGUUCAACUCUCACAGAGCCUCUGGGUUAAAGAUGGUUAUGUUUGUAUCAAUUUAGG